GGCGGUUUGUCCGAGUGGUUAAGGAGUUGGACUUGAAAUCCAAUGGGCUCUGCCCGCGCAGGUUCGAACCCUGCAGCCGUCG
rfam:Eimeria necatrix Houghton genomic scaffold, Enh_scaff508